AGUUCAUUUAGUUUUCUUUUCGAACAAAAUGUUAAGGUUUAAUUUAUUCAGACAAUAAAUGUAUUCAUUAAAAAUCAUUUCAUUUAUUUACACAGCUGUUUUUCUGUUUUUUUUUUUUUUUUUUUUUUUUUUUUUUUUUUUUUUUUUUUUUUUUUUUUUUUUUUUUUUUUUCUUGUCUGCACAUGCUUUCGAAGGUUAACACUACAAGAAGUGCAAUCUUUUGACAGCAAUGCAUAUUUUAUUAUUGCAAUUAAAUAAAUUUAUUUAUUUCAUUGCAUAAUUGUGACCGUCACCAGCCCUCCCUAGGGAAGGGUAAGAAAUACUUUAUUAAAGGGAGGGUGUAAAAAAGAGAGGGCAGUGUUACACCAAGGUGAGGGGUUGGAGGGGGGUGGGGAAGUUAGCAGGGAAGAGGGAUACAAGAUAGGAUAUGGAAUGGGUGAGGAAUAGUUUUAAGUGAUGCGAUGUGAAAUUGUGGUUGUGUAUAUUGUGUUUAUUGUUGUGUUGUCAAGCCAGUUUGGUGACCAGUGUGUGGUUUAGGAAUAAUGGUGGUGGCUGUGAACAGAGGAAGAGGUGAGUGGAAAUUCCAGAAAACAGGUAUUUGGGAACAACGUGUCUAAGGUUGAGCCCAGUAUGAGUGUUAUCCCACAGCCCAAGGCCAGUGCAUCCAUGACAAAUGUAUUUCCAAGUACCGCCACUGCAAAACCCAAGAGCCGCCCCCGGGCCCGAAGAAGCAGUCAGGCCAGCAGCAAGAGCAGGCAGCCUAAGGGCCCCCGGCGACCACCCCACGGCCAAGCAGUCCCCCGAACGCCCCCAAGACCCAAGCCGAGAGGCAGCCAUCGCCCCCCCAUACACACCCGAGAAAGCCCCAAGGAGCCAAGGACCCAGCGCACCACGCCACCGAUCCCACCCCCAACCCCCAGACCCCCCACCCCAUCGACCCCCCCACCCCCCCACCCCACCCCCGCGCCCAACCCCCCGAGGGGAGGGCCCCGAGAACUCCCUGCCCGAGGCCCCAGCGGAGGAGCCGAAGCCCACACCCAGCAGACGACCAGAACCGCGCCGAACAGGCAGCCAGUGGGCACCCGCCGGCGAGCCCAGAGCCAGCAGGGGCCCGACCCCAGGCCAGAAGGACCCGGAACGGAUGCAGCACCAGGAGCAGCCCGCCCAGGGAGGACGACCACACCCCAAGCCGCAUAAGGCACCAGGGGGCCGCUGGGAGUCUCCCCGCCGGCCCCCAGGCACCCCAACCUAGCCCCCCACGGCGCCCCAGAUCACCCUUCACUGAUGCCGCCCGCGCCACGAGCUUCAGUUCUUUUUUUUUUUUUUUUUUUUUUAAAGCCAGGGCCCCCUCCAAGGGCCAAGCCAGACCGCCCCGCCGGGAUGUGGCCCCCUAUUCCGGCCCCCGACACCCUACCUCACGGGGCACUGCCCAAGCAGGGGCCGUACCAGUAGGUACGCAAGGGCGCGGCACGCGCCACCCGCCCCGAAAGACCCCCGCCAGGACCGGCCCGGCCAGCAGGCCAAGCACCCCGGGCCCCAGGAGCACCCCCCGGGACCAGGACCCCCCAAGGGCAAGCCCCCGGGCCAAGCCCCCCGGGACGCACUCCCCACCCCCGCCCGGGACCCGGCCACGGCCCAGCAGGACCGCACAGCCCCGGACAGCCCACGGCCAGCAGCCCAGGGCCCGCCGCCCCCCGGACAGCGCCAGCCACGGAGCAGCGCCCCCCGCCGGCCCGCGAGCAACCGGCGAUCCCCACCGCGGGGACGGAGGCACCCCAACGGCACACAUCAAGUGCGGGACAGCAGCCCCCAGCCAAAGAUGCCCCGGACCCACCCACCAGUCCGCAAACGGCAGGAUAGACCCACCAGGCGGCCGACAGCAACCUCCACCACCGGAACAGCUAGCGCCGCCCCCCAGUAAACAGCAUCACCCCGAGGCGCCAAGCAACCCCGCCCCAACCCCGGCGAGGACACCAGCACCCCCCCAGCACACCCACCCCCCAAACCGGCGAGGCAGGCCGCCCCGGGCCCGCACACCGCGGGGCCCGCCCCCAAGGCCACCAGGAGACAAAGCAAGCGCCAAGCCACACCCAAGGGGGAGAGGCACCCCCGCGCCCCACCCGGCCGACACAGCCCGGAAAGACCCCGCAAGGAGAGACCCCGGCAAAGCCCCCCCGAGACCCACCGCCACGCCCGACCGCACCAUCUUGAUGUGCUUUUGCUCUAUGCAGUGGCCCAGCCACCAACAGAGGGGCCAGGCCCCCACCGGAGAGGCCCAAAUAUGUGUACCAACCCAC
ensembl:lncRNA